rnacentral:rRNA from 1 species
CCUACGGGAGGCAGCAGUAAGGAAUCUUCCACAAUGGACGAAAGUCUGAUGGAGCAACGCCGCGUGCAGGAUGAAGGCUUUCGGGUCGUAAACUGCUUUUAUAUGGGAAGAUUAUGACGGUACCAUAUGAAUAAGGACCGGCUAACUACGUGCCAGCAGCCGCGGUAAUACGUAGGGUCCAAGCGAUAUCCGGAAUUACUGGGCGUAAAGCGUGUGUAGGUGGAUUAAUAAGUGUGAUGCGAAAUCCGGCGGCUCAACCGUUUGGACUGUGUCGCAUACUGUUAGUCUAGAGGACGGCAGAGGUAAGUGGAAUUACGGGUGUAGCAGUGAAAUGCGUAGAUAUCCGUAGGAACACCAAUGGCGAAGGCAGCUUACUGGGCCACACCUGACACUGAGACACGAAAGCGUGGGGAGCGAACAGGAUUAGAUACCCUGGUAGUCCACGCCGUAAACGAUGCAUACUAUUAGUAUGGGGUAUCGACCCCCUGUGCUGAGAAGCUAACGCGAUAAGUAUGCCGCCUGGGGAGUACGAGCGCAAGCUUAAACUCAAAGGAAUUGACGG